rnacentral:rRNA from 1 species
GGGUUGUGAGGUUAAGCGACUAAGCGUACACGGUGGAUGCCCUGGCAGUCAGAGGCGAUGAAGGACGUGCUAAUCUGCGAUAAGCGUCGGUAAGGUGAUAUGAACCGUUAUAACCGGCGAUUUCCGAAUGGGGAAACCCAGUGUGUUUCGACACACUAUCAUUAACUGAAUCCAUAGGUUAAUGAGGCGAACCGGGGGAACUGAAACAUCUAAGUACCCCGAGGAAAAGAAAUCAACCGAGAUUCCCCCAGUAGCGGCGAGCGAACGGGGAGCAGCCCAGAGCCUGAAUCAGUGUGUGUGUUAGUGGAAGCGUCUGGAAAGGCGCGCGAUACAGGGUGACAGCCCCGUACACAAAAAUGCACAUACUGUGAGCUCGAUGAGUAGGGCGGGACACGUGGUAUCCUGUCUGAAUAUGGGGGGACCAUCCUCCAAGGCUAAAUACUCCUGACUGACCGAUAGUGAACCAGUACCGUGAGGGAAAGGCGAAAAGAACCCCGGCGAGGGGAGUGAAAAAGAACCUGAAACCGUGUACGUACAAGCAGUGGGAGCCUCUUAAUGGGGUGACUGCGUACCUUUUGUAUAAUGGGUCAGCGACUUAUAUUCUGUAGCAAGGUUAACCGAAUAGGGGAGCCGAAGGGAAACCGAGUCUUAACUGGGCGUUAAGUUGCAGGGUAUAGACCCGAAACCCGGUGAUCUAGCCAUGGGCAGGUUGAAGGUUGGGUAACACUAACUGGAGGACCGAACCGACUAAUGUUGAAAAAUUAGCGGAUGACUUGUGGCUGGGGGUGAAAGGCCAAUCAAACCGGGAGAUAGCUGGUUCUCCCCGAAAGCUAUUUAGGUAGCGCCUCGUGAAUUCAUCUCCGGGGGUAGAGCACUGUUUCGGCAAGGGGGUCAUCCCGACUUACCAACCCGAUGCAAACUGCGAAUACCGGAGAAUGUUAUCACGGGAGACACACGGCGGGUGCUAACGUCCGUCGUGAAGAGGGAAACAACCCAGACCGCCAGCUAAGGUCCCAAAGUCAUGGUUAAGUGGGAAACGAUGUGGGAAGGCCCAGACAGCCAGGAUGUUGGCUUAGAAGCAGCCAUCAUUUAAAGAAAGCGUAAUAGCUCACUGGUCGAGUCGGCCUGCGCGGAAGAUGUAACGGGGCUAAACCAUGCACCGAAGCUGCGGCAGCGACACUAUGUGUUGUUGGGUAGGGGAGCGUUCUGUAAGCCUGCGAAGGUGUACUGUGAGGUAUGCUGGAGGUAUCAGAAGUGCGAAUGCUGACAUAAGUAACGAUAAAGCGGGUGAAAAGCCCGCUCGCCGGAAGACCAAGGGUUCCUGUCCAACGUUAAUCGGGGCAGGGUGAGUCGACCCCUAAGGCGAGGCCGAAAGGCGUAGUCGAUGGGAAACAGGUUAAUAUUCCUGUACUUGGUGUUACUGCGAAGGGGGGACGGAGAAGGCUAUGUUGGCCGGGCGACGGUUGUCCCGGUUUAAGCGUGUAGGCUGGUUUUCCAGGCAAAUCCGGAAAAUCAAGGCUGAGGCGUGAUGACGAGGCACUACGGUGCUGAAGCAACAAAUGCCCUGCUUCCAGGAAAAGCCUCUAAGCAUCAGGUAACAUCAAAUCGUACCCCAAACCGACACAGGUGGUCAGGUAGAGAAUACCAAGGCGCUUGAGAGAACUCGGGUGAAGGAACUAGGCAAAAUGGUGCCGUAACUUCGGGAGAAGGCACGCUGAUAUGUAGGUGAAGUCCCUCGCGGAUGGAGCUGAAAUCAGUCGAAGAUACCAGCUGGCUGCAACUGUUUAUUAAAAACACAGCACUGUGCAAACACGAAAGUGGACGUAUACGGUGUGACGCCUGCCCGGUGCCGGAAGGUUAAUUGAUGGGGUUAGCGGUAACGCGAAGCUCUUGAUCGAAGCCCCGGUAAACGGCGGCCGUAACUAUAACGGUCCUAAGGUAGCGAAAUUCCUUGUCGGGUAAGUUCCGACCUGCACGAAUGGCGUAAUGAUGGCCAGGCUGUCUCCACCCGAGACUCAGUGAAAUUGAACUCGCUGUGAAGAUGCAGUGUACCCGCGGCAAGACGGAAAGACCCCGUGAACCUUUACUAUAGCUUGACACUGAACAUUGAGCCUUGAUGUGUAGGAUAGGUGGGAGGCUUUGAAGUGUGGACGCCAGUCUGCAUGGAGCCGGCCUUGAAAUACCACCCUUUAAUGUUUGAUGUUCUAACGUUGGCCCCUGAUCGGGGUUGCGGACAGUGUCUGGUGGGUAGUUUGACUGGGGCGGUCUCCUCCUAAAGAGUAACGGAGGAGCACGAAGGUUGGCUAAUCCUGGUCGGACAUCAGGAGGUUAGUGCAAUGGCAUAAGCCAGCUUGACUGCGAGCGUGACGGCGCGAGCAGGUGCGAAAGCAGGUCAUAGUGAUCCGGUGGUUCUGAAUGGAAGGGCCAUCGCUCAACGGAUAAAAGGUACUCCGGGGAUAACAGGCUGAUACCGCCCAAGAGUUCAUAUCGACGGCGGUGUUUGGCACCUCGAUGUCGGCUCAUCACAUCCUGGGGCUGAAGUAGGUCCCAAGGGUAUGGCUGUUCGCCAUUUAAAGUGGUACGCGAGCUGGGUUUAGAACGUCGUGAGACAGUUCGGUCCCUAUCUGCCGUGGGCGCUGGAGAACUGAGGGGGGCUGCUCCUAGUACGAGAGGACCGGAGUGGACGCAUCACUGGUGUUCGGGUUGUCAUGCCAAUGGCACUGCCCGGUAGCUAAAUGCGGAAGAGAUAAGUGCUGAAAGCAUCUAAGCACGAAACUUGCCCCGAGAUGAGUUCUCCCUGACUCUUUAAGGGUCCUGAAGGAACGUUGAAGACGACGACGUUGAUAGGCCGGGUGUGUAAGCGCAGCGAUGCGUUGAGCUAACCGGUACUAAUGAACCGUGAGGCUUAACCUUACAACGCCGAAG